GGGAACGACCACCGCUAUCAGAGCAAAGCUUGGCCCGAACCUUCGUGAUGUAGGCCUCUGCUCUCCCGUCGACGCCGUCCCCUUCGUCGCCCGGCUCCAUCAAGUAGUUCGCGCAGCGGCUCUCGGGCUCCACCAGCUUCAUGGCCCUCGCGGUGGGAGGCGGAAGCGGGGCGCCGGGCGCGAUCCUCGCGGGCGCCGCCCGGGUCGUCCCGAGCGCCAUCUUGGCGAGCGCCAGGACCGAGGCCUUGAACACGUUGCCGGAGAUGGCGGUUGAUCUCUCGCGCAUGGACGCGUGCUUGCGCCUGGCCAUGAGUAGUAAGUAGCUCACUCACUCGUCUGGUGUUUUUGGUUGGGGCUUCGGAGGGAUAUCUGCAGUGGAAGAGGAAUGCCCAAGGCUUAUAUAUCCGCCUCGUAGGAAUCAUUGAUGGGGAAUUGCGUUGCGUAUGCCCGCGCCCGAGUAAUAGUAACAUUCAAUGAUGAGCGUGGGGUGCGCCGUUAUCGGUUUCAACUUGUGCCGCAAGCCACAGAGAGAGCGCCCUCAAGGUGUUUGCUAUUAUGACUCCCAAUUUUUAGUCCUGCCUUGUACGUGAGCCUAACUGCUCCAGUUCACAAAGUGGCUUCGGCAGGAGGGUCGCAGAUGGUGCCAUUGAUCAUGACGUGGGAAUCGGACAUGAUUGCAUAUCUCCUCGGUAUGUUCUUAUGGAUGAUCACGGAUCGGCUUUACUUUUGUGGCGUCCUCGGAGAAAAAGAGACGGCUCGAGACAAACAUCCGUAGAGAUGCUUCACGAGUGCAACGAGAGGGACCCAACUCAGGGUAUAAUGACACAUACAUACGAGCAGCAUACAAAAAGCUGAGAGGUGUUGGGUGCAGUAACCUCAGAUAUGGAAGGGGGGAAUGUCUCGUGUGGUGGUCGGAGACAACGACAUAAGGACUGCAGAUGAAGCAAAGAGGUGGAUUCGUCUGGUCGCUAUCAGCUUUGGAGCACGUCCGGAUCAAAGUGAGAGGUUCGUAUUCUUCGUCCGCUUGAUGUUUCUUUCUGUCUCUUCAUAGAAAAGAUAAGCCCCUGUUUAGCGUCUGACAUAACAAGGAAGAGUGGGAACGAUGAUAAAUAGGGUCCUGCACUAAUUUUACUUGAAUUUGAACUUGACUACUAAUCCAGUGACUUCUCAGAACUUAGAAUCAUUUAUUAUCAUGGUUUAUUUUCCUGUAGAAAUUUAGAGACAAAUUCCAUACCAGUAUUGUUAACACCAUACAUGAGAUUGUUGGACGAGUCUUAAGCAUAAUUUAUGAAGUUAUUUAGAUCACCUGAUAGAUUAAUCCUCGGAAACUUUUUUGCACAAAAUACCACCAUGUCUUUCUUAUUGUUCUUCAGUACGAGGCAUGUCCCUGUGGCUUUGGUUAACAUACAUAUAUUUCACAACUGUGCUGCCUCGAGUCAUAAUCCACAACAUUAUUUAUUAUCUAUAGCUCCAUCAUAUCAAAACCAUGCACAUUUAAUUUGUACUAUUAACUGAAAGGGCAUAUAUCCUGUUCACAUUUAUUUUUCCCACUAGCAUCUGUGUUAGAUAGUAUACCAAACUCCAUGCACCAUAAACACACUUGCACAAGCCUAAAGUGAGCAGCCUUCUUUGGUAAGCACAAAGACACUGCCAGCGUCGCCUCUUGAGAUUCUUAACUCCUCGUCGAGAUAGGUGGUUAGCAACCAGGAUUGAACAUUAGUGUUGUUUAUUGGUAUUUUUAGCGGCGGCUGUCCUGAGAUGGUCCGAGCCACAGAUGCUGC